rnacentral:lncRNA from 1 species
GAGACCUUGGGGAACAAUUUUAAAGUGGCUCAAUAGCGAUCGCAGAGCCAAACUCAUACCUACAUCAAUGUGGUGCAGAGAAUCUCUAAGAAUUUUUAAUGCUGAAUUGGAGCAAAGAAACUUCAAGGAGGAAGCAAAGUGAAGAACACAGAUUUCACAGAUGGGAUGCCUGGCUCAAAUUCCAGCUUGACCGCUGGUAGCUGUGUGACCCUCGGCAAGUUACUUGACCUCUCUCUACUCAGUGUCCUCAUCUGUCAGUGUAAUAUGAAUCAGAAAACAUGAACUCAGACUGAUGCUGGAAGCCACCUUAUGACUAUAAGCAGAAUCAGCCUCGUUAUGACGUUGAUGCUAUAAGCAACGGACUGAAAGAUACAAAGAGCAAGCAGACAGGAUGAUUUUGGUAUCUGACUGAUGCUGUCUUCGUGGAAUGAGUUAGGAAAGAGUCCCUCCUCGUCAACUGUUGGGAAUACAUUCAGCAGGGUUGGUAUCAUUGCAUGUCUGGCAGAAUUUGACUAGGAAUCCAUCUGGUCCAGGAUUUUUUUUGUUGAAAUGCGUAAAUGGCGACAGUAGAGCCAGCCUUCAUGAAUCCAGAAAUGUGAGCCACAUUUUGAGGAUAGCAGAGUCACUGCAGAAGCCUGGAUCCUUGCAUAACCUUGUCGAGUGGGAAAAUCUACCCAUACUUGACCAACCACCUAACUGGGGGCUCUACAUCUGAGAGAAAUGAUUUUUUAUCUUAUUUAAGCCACUGUAGUUAGGAGUCAGUUUAUUACAGGACAUUGCCUGGUGUUCCAACAAAUAAACUACCUUAUUUGUUUCAAUAAAUAAAGUGGCUUUUAUUUACUAUUUUGGGGAUGGCUAAAAAAUUAUCAAACUAGGUAGAACUAAACUAAAGUUUCAGAUGAAAGAAGAUCUUCAUAAGCAACAUCACCAUCUUGUCACAGCAGCCAAAUGGUGGCAUGUCAUUUCUUCCAGGAAAGUAUAUAUACUCUGAAUGUAUCAUGUUUCAGCAUUGCUC